rnacentral:rRNA from 1 species
UACGUAGGUGGCAAGCGUUGUCCGGAAUUAUUGGGCGUAAAGCGCGCGCAGGCGGUCCUUUAAGUCUGAUGGGAGAGCCCACGGCUCAACCGUGGAGGGUCAUUGGAAACUGGGGGACUUGAGUGCAGAAGAGGAAAGCGGAAUUCCACGUGUAGCGGUGAAAUGCGUAGAGAUGUGGAGGAACACCAGUGGCGAAGGCGGCUUUCUGGUCUGUAACUGACGCUGAGGCGCGAAAGCGUGGGGAGCAAACAGG